CUCUGUUGGUCACAGGAACCUCCAAAAGAACAGUCUUUUUCCAGUGCAGCUUCUCCUGGCACGUAGGGGACUGACAUGGGACAGCAGGAAGCUCAGAGACCUGAGCCCAAGGCCACGACUGGGUUUUCCAAACCUCCUGAGAUGGAAAUUUGAAGGAGAAUUAGAAGGCUUAGAGAUGGGAAAUUUGGAGAAGAAAAGAAUAAUGUCUUAAGAUUUCUGGAGGGGCUAACUGAGCUCUUCGCCACAAGUUUGGAGGCCUGCACCCCAUCCUGGAUCAGAAGCGCCCCUGUGUGAAAACCAGCUGAGGAGGAAGCUUGCCCCGGAGGCUGCUGCUGGCAGGGAGCAGGAGCCUCAUGUGGUCUGCCGUGGCAGGAGACUCACUUUCCACCCUGCGCCCUUGCAGCUUCGAAUUUCAGACCAUGAGCAGGAUUUUAGUCACAAAUUCACACGUGUCUAGUAUGAUUUUCAAGCUGCCGGGUCCAGG